CAUGCAAGUCGAACGGGUAACAGGCCGCAAGGUGCUGACGAGUGGCGAACGGGNNGAAUAAUGCAUCGGAACGUGCCCAGUCGUGGGGGAUAANGCAGCGAAAGCUGUGCUAAUACCGCAUACGAUCUAUGGAUGAAAGCGGGGGACCGUAAGGCCUCGCGCGAUUGGAGCGGCCGAUGUCAGAUUAGGUAGUUGGUGGGGUAAAGGCCCACCAAGCCAACGAUCUGUAGCUGGUCUGAGAGGACGACCAGCCACACUGGAACUGAGACACGGUCCAGACUCCUACGGGAGGCAGCAGUGGGGAAUUUUGGACAAUGGGCGCAAGCCUGAUCCAGCAAUGCCGCGUGCAGGAAGAAGGCCUUCGGGUUGUAAACUGCUUUUGUACGGAACGAAACGGUCUGGGUUAAUACCUCGGGCUAAUGACGGUACCGUAAGAAUAAGCACCGGCUAACUACGUGCCAGCAGCCGCGGUAAUACGUAGGGCGCAAGCGUUAAUCGGAAUUACUGGGCGUAAAGCGUGCGCAGGCGGUUUUGUAAGACAGUCGUGAAAUCCCCGGGCUCAACCUGGGAAUUGCGAUUGUGACUGCAAGGCUGGAGUGCGGCAGAGGGGGAUGGAAUUCCGCGUGUAGCAGUGAAAUGCGUANAUAUGCGGAGGAACACCGAUGGCGAAGGCAAUCCCCUGGGCCUGCACUGACGCUCAUGCACGAAAGCGUGGGGAGC
rnacentral:rRNA from 1 species